UGUGGUUUCUUCAUCUGUGUUUCCUGUUUGGAUCAACAGGCUUGUUCUGAGGUCUGCAGCUCCGUGAACAUCACUGACAAGAAGUGCCAGUGUCUCCACUUCAACGUGUCACAAGGGGAAUGUGCCUUUCCUAAUUCAUUCAUCGCAGGCCUGAAGUUCCUGAUGCCAGACCCUCCCAGUCAGAGGAACGCCAUCCAUCAUCUGAUCAGGAGGCUGGAGAAGAUGAGCGGCGACUGCGUGGUGAACUUCUGCUCGCUGUCUGCGCUGUCCGAGUUCAACACGUCCAUCAUUUCACCAAAAGUCUUUCACAAGCAUCUGGAAAAGCUGACUCAGGAGUACAACGUCAAGUUUCAGUGACGUGACGAAUCCCAUCAUCACGUGUGUCUUCAGAGUUUCAUCUGGACGUCCAUCAAGCUCAGAACAUCUCCAGUAAUCAGCAUGUGUUUGUCUCCUUUAAAACUGUUUGAAACUCAGCUGGUUGCUGCACAGCGCCACCAUCUGGUUAAAUACAGUAGUGUGUUUAAUGUCAUCCAGAGCACCUCUGACACGUUUAGCGGUCUUCAUUCAAACACUGUUGUUGACCACCAACGUAGAGCUCCCAGCUUAUUAUUAUAUCCACAUUGUGACUUUCACUGUCAGCAGAAUUUAUCAAAGGAUUUUAUACAGUUUGUGACCAAAGUGGACCCAGGACAGAAAAAAUGGAAAAUUAAUGAAUAAUACACAAACAUUGGUGUUCAAGGAAGGAAUCAAUACGUGAACAUCAUGAGACUUUAUCGUAUAUUUUAUUGGUCAUCAGUCAAAUCAAUCAGCGGUUAAAGCCAACACUAAGCAGCGGCGCUCCGUGAACUCAACGUGACACGUGAUGUACGUCUCCUCAUGUACUGGUUGUUGCUUAUUAUUUAUUUAUUUAUUACUAACUUAUCAGUGCAUGGUUUACCUGCUGUCCCUGGCUUACCUGGUUUACCUGCUGUCCCUGGCUUACCUGGUUUACCUGCUGUCCCUGGCUUACCUGUCCAGUGUUGUUGUGUGUUUGUGCUGGAGUGACACACAUUCAGCUGAAGUGAAGCAUCCUGCUGCAGUCCAAAGACUCGACUGUCUGUUCGGGACCAUUUUUGGGUUCAUGUUCUGGAACCUUGUUUUUAAACGUGUCCUGUGAAUCGGCUGGUCGACUCCGAGUCCAUAAAUAAAGUUCUUAUUGUCAUGAA